UACGGAGGGUGCGAGCGUUAAUCGGAAUUACUGGGCGUAAAGCGUACGUAGGCGGCUUAUUAAGCAAGAUGUGAAAGCCCCGGGCUCAACCUGGGAAUUGCAUUUUGAACUGGUAGGCUCGAGUUUUGAAGAGGGUGGUAGAAUUUCCAGUGUAGCGGUGAAAUGCGUAGAUAUUGGAAGGAAUACCCGUGGCGAAGGCGGCCACCUGGUCAAAAACUGACGCUGAGGUACGAAAGCGUGGGGAGCAACCAGG
rnacentral:misc_RNA from 1 species